rnacentral:rRNA from 1 species
UAUACAUGCAGUCGAGCGAAUGGAUUAAGAGCUUGAUCUUAUGAAGUUAGCGGCGGACGGGYGAGUAACACGUGGGUAACCUGCCCAUAAGACUGGGAUAACUCCGGGAAACCGGGGCUAAUACCGGAUAACAUUUUGAACYGCAUGGUUCGAAAUUGAAAGGCGGCUUCGGCUGUCACUUAUGGAUGGACCCGCGUCGCAUUAGCUAGUUGGUGAGGUAACGGCUCACCAAGGCAACGAUGCGUAGCCGACCUGAGAGGGUGAUCGGCCACACUGGGACUGAGACACGGCCCAGACUCCUACGGGAGGCAGCAGUAGGGAAUCUUCCGCAAUGGACGAAAGUCUGACGGAGCAACGCCGCGUGAGUGAUGAAGGCUUUCGGGUCGUAAAACUCUGUUGUUAGGGAAGAACAAGUGCUAGUUGAAUAAGCUGGCACCUUGACGGUACCUAACCAGAAAGCCACGGCUAACUACGUGCCAGCAGCCGCGGUAAUACGUAGGUGGCAAGCGUUAUCCGGAAUUAUUGGGCGUAAAGCGCGCGCAGGUGGUUUCUUAAGUCUGAUGUGAAAGCCCACGGCUCAACCGUGGAGGGUCAUUGGAAACUGGGAGACUUGAGUGCAGAAGAGGAAAGUGGAAUUCCAUGUGUAGCGGUGAAAUGCGUAGAGAUAUGGAGGAACACCAGUGGCGAAGGCGACUUUCUGGUCUGUAACUGACACUGAGGCGCGAAAGCGUGGGGAGCAACAGGAUUAGAUACCCUGGUAGUCCACGCCGUAACGAUGAGUGCUAAGUGUWAGAGGGUUUCCGCCCUUYAGUGCUGAGUUAACGCAUUAAKCACYYCYSCUGGGAGKACGGCCGCAGGCUGAAACUCAAGGAAUUGACGGGGGCCSGCCACGAGC